rnacentral:SRP_RNA from 1 species
GCGCGGUGGCGCACGCCUGUAGUCCCAGCUACUCGGGAGGCUGAGACAGGAGGAUCACUUGAGUCCAGGAGUUCUAGGCUGUAGUGCGCUAUGCCGAUCGGGUGUCCGCACUAAGUUCGGCAUCAGUAUGGGGACCUCCUAGGAGCGGGGGACCACCAUUUUUUGAAUAGCCACUGCACUCCAGCCUGGGCAACAUAGCGAGACCCCGUCUCUAGGACCACCAGGUUGCCUAAGGAGGGGUGAACCGGCCCAGGUCGGAAACGGAGCAGGUCAAAACUCCCGUGCUGAUCAAUAGUGGGAUCGCGCCUGUGAAUAGCCACCGAGCCUGGCUAGCUCAUUCAGUAGAGCAUGGGACUCU